rnacentral:rRNA from 1 species
UUGGAGGGCAAGUCUGGUGCCAGCAGCCGCGGUAAUUCCAGCUCCAAUAGCGUAUAUUAAAGUUGUUGCAGUUAAAAAGCUCGUAGUUGAAUUUCGGGGUUAGUAGGUUGGUCAUGCCUCUGGUAUGUACUGGUCUCACUGAUUCCUCCUUCCUGAUGAACCGUAAUGCCAUUAAUUUGGUGUUGCGGGGAAUUUGGACUGUUACUUUGAAAAAAUUAGAGUGUUUAAAGCAAGCUAACGCUUGAAUACAUUAGCAUGGAAUAAUGAAAUAGGACGUUCGAUCCUAUUUUGUUGGUUUCUAGGAUUGACGUAAUGAUUAAUAGGGAUAGUUGGGGGCAUUAGUAUUCAAUUGUCAGAGGUGAAAUUCUUGGAUUUAUUGAAGACUAACUACUGCGAAGGCAUUUGCCAAGGAUGUUUUCAUUAAUCAAGAACGAAAGUUAGGGGAUCGAAGACGAUCAGAUACCGUCGUAGUCUUAACCAUAAACUAUGCCGACUAGGGAUCGGAUGAUGUUAAUUUUAUAAUGACUCAUUCGGCGCCUUACGGGAAAC